rnacentral:rRNA from 1 species
UAGCCGUAAACGAUACUCGCUAGGUGUCGGCCACGGUGCGACCGUUGUCGGUGCCGUAGGGAAGCCGUGAAGCGAGCCACCUGGGAAGUACGGCCGCAAGGCUGAAACUUAAAGGAAUUGGCGGGGGGAGGCACCACAAGAGGUGGAGGCUGCGGUUCAAUUGGACUCAACGCCGGAAACUACAUCGGGAGGCGACAGCAGUAUGAUUGCCAGGUUGAUGACCUUGCUUGACAAGCUGAGAGGAGGUGCAUGGCGUAGUCGUGU